AAAAGAGAAGUAGGAAGAAAGAAAAAAGGGACGGAGAGAGAAAGGAGAGCUGUAUGACGUGGAUUAUUGGACUCACAUUUGUUUUUUGGAAAAUUGCAGAAACGAGCUUGUUUGUUUUUUUCCGUUGAUUUAUCUUGAUUUCUUC
rnacentral:ribozyme from 12 species